AUUCUGUGGUGAGGGCAUUUUCGUAAUGGUUCUUUGUAUCAUUCUCAUGCCUCAUACAAGGACUUAUCAUUCAUUUGUUGGAAGGCAGUGAUCUCCUUCCUCAACUU
rfam:Gossypium hirsutum cultivar TM-1 unplaced genomic scaffold scaffold1411.1, whole genome shotgun sequence